rnacentral:lncRNA from 1 species
GAUGAUAGGAAUUUCACCACUGGCGAAUCCAAUGACAAGAAUCUGAGCACCCCAAUUCAAGAGCUUCAUAGUUUCUUUAGCAAGGUUGCCACCAACAGGAUCAUAGAGAACGUCAACCCCUUUGAGGUUCCUUGACUUGAGGAACUCCUUUACACUUGCGGUUACAUUUUGAUUCAUCAAGUCUACCACAUGAUCAACACCCAAGGACUUUAACAACUGCACCUUCUCAGCUCCCCUGAAAAAAAUAUGCAGUUUUGAUAUACCCUUGGCCUAUAAAUCCGCAAGGCUCCCAGCCAAGCCGAAGCACAUUAACUUGAGCGAUAGCAUGCUCCUCCGUCAAUAACCUCUAUGCCAUUGGGUUAGGGAUCAAGUCAAACCACGUGCAAACUCUUCAGUUUGCCAUGGUUCUGCUUACUCAAGCACUACAAAAUAUUUAUGGGGGUCCUAUCUCUCAACAGAUACCAAUGAAGCUAAUAAUCUAAGGGAGAAAAAAAGAGAAAAAAGGCACCUGGCAACAGCAAUGACAACUGCACCGCAAAUCUUGCCAAUUUGAACAGCAGCAAGGCCAACGCCUCCUGCAGCACCAAGAACCAGCAAUACCUGCAAUAGUUGCUAUCUCCUUUAGCAGUAAAACCCAGAAUUCUUUUUCAAGUUACAGUUACAUUAUAGCCUCAAUCAAAAUCAAUCAUUACAAGCACUGAACUAUCUCUUUCAACAAUAAAUCCCAUGACUUCUUUAAGUUAUAACAUAUCUAUAGUUUCAAUCAAAAUCAUUACAAGCAUUGAACUAAUUAACUCAAUAACUAACUAACCAAAAGCAAGAAAAAGGGGGACAUGCCUGAGAAGAUGUCAAGUUAGCCCUAUGAACAAGAGUUAAAUGCGAGGUCACAAAGGCAAUAGGGAGUCCAGCAGCAGCCACCAGAUCACACCCUUUCGGCACUUCAAACCUAAUCAGCAAUCAACAUUAAUUAACCAUUUUCUUUUUCAAAUUAGAAAUGAAGCCGAGAAGGGCCGAGACUGACAGUUGGGAUUGGUCUUGGACGAUGAAGGUGGCAUAGGAGCCUACAGGGGAAAAGGCACAGACGUAGUCUCCAACCUUGAACUUGCUGACGGAAGGGCCAACAGCAUUAACAAUGCCGGCAUAAUCAGAGCCUGGGAUGAAAGGCAAGGGAUGCUUCUCCUGGUACUUGCCUUGUAUCUGAAGGUAAGUACCGUAGUUCAAGCUGGUGGCCUUAACUUUGAUUCUCACUGCUGUGGGUGAGUCCAACUCGGGGAUUGGAUGGUUCCUGCUUAACUCAAUAGGCGACUCAAAUGAGGAUGUUGGAUCACCCAAUCUCUUGCACAACAGAGCUUCCAUUUUUUCUUUUUUCUGUUUAUUACAGGUAUUUUGGUUCCUACAAAGACUCUGACAACAGGGUUGAAAAAAAGGGGAAAUAUUUUAUGAACACAAUGAAGUAAAUAAAAUACUCCAAAAGUAUCUCCACUGAAUCCAAUUAGUAUCUAUCUCAUUGCCAUCAACCUCGGUAUAUCAGGAAUUGUGCCAAUGCAAAAAAAAUUGUUGAUAGUACCAUAACAGUCCUUGUACUACACCUUAGACUACAUUUUACUCUCUCUAUUGAAAAAUAAUGGCAAAUUAAUCCCUAUAUACUUAAAUAAAUAAGCAAAAUGGUUAUUAAUAAUCUACGAACAAAAAAAAAAAAAUUGGAGUGGCAUGCUUGUCUUGAUGAAUAUGAGAUGGACAGUGGUUCAUGGAUGGUAAGCUGAAUUUUUUCAUGAUAAAGAUUUUAAGGAUGAAAUUAAAAUUAUUUGUAAGUUAUGAGGGUUAAUAUUUUAAAAUUAUUACUAAAUUGAUAUAAUAUGUAAAAGUUUAGGGCUAAAUUUUUUAUUAUACAGAUUUUUAACCGCCACGUCACCCUUCCUUUAGAGGUUUAAUGGCUAAAUCUCGAAUAAUUGGGUGACUAAAUUAAAAAAAUGAUAAUUGGGUGAUAAAAAAAGAAAAGAGGCAAUAAUUGGGUUGUUUACCCAGAUAUUUUCUUAUACCAAAAUUAUAUGAAAAUAUUUAUAUAUAUACUAGGGUUUAUAUUCGAAACAUGUGGUAAUUAUUAUCAAUAAUGUCAUCUUCAAUAUUUGAACUCUUGAAAAUACAAUAAUCACACUAUUGCACUCAACGCUUGUUGAUAAUGUUAUCUAAUAGAAUCAUUUUACUUCUUCGUAUAUGUAAAAGACUAAUCUAUCUAUUUUUCAAUAAAAGGACUAAAAUGUGAUUUGUAAUAUAAUGUAGGGAUUGCUAUGUACUUUUGUCGAAAUUGUUCAAUAUUGUUAUAAUUUUACUGCUAGAAUGGGUGAUGAAAUGUGUAUUAUUAGAGGAAUGAUCGUGAGUUUAGAUAGCUCGUUCGACUGGAAUUGAAUAAUAACUUUCAUGUUUUUAUCCGACUUGGCUUGAUUCAAAUUUUGGAACCAGCCUGCUAGAUGAUUAUAUGGUUUUUUUUAAUGAAGAAGAUAAGGGUUGUUUAAGGAUUGAAUAUAGUUUCUUUCUUUAAAAAAGUAUUCUUCUUUCUCUCUAGGAAGUCCCUAUGCUGCUCUCUUGUUUUACAAUCUCAAGGUGGAGAGCAUCAAUGCCGGCAUUAGUCGAUUCUUCCAGAAAGGGCUCUGUUCCUCUGUUGCUCAAAUUUUUGAUAUCUUGGCACUUUUGUUACCUCAAACACCUCUAUUUCACUUGCUCUAUUGGACCUGUUGUUGGUUUCUCCAUUGCUGCACUGGAGGUUAGCCAGUGACCCACCCUACCAUCACUCGGAUCUCCAAGCAAAGAUCUUGAGUGGUUGAGUCCUCGGGGUUUUAAGCCUUAGUUCUUGAUUUGGUGGUGGUCAAUUCCUUGGCUGUGGAACAACUGACGCCAUCCCCUUGCAACCAUGAGCUUCUCUUGAUGCCGAACUCCAGCCAUUUUUUUAUUGGGUGAAGACUAAGCUUCGGAAUAAUAAUUUUUGUGGUCUAAGUUUGGGUUAAACUUGAAUCUUGUGGGGGCUUCACCCUUCCCAGCAGCUAGGAGUGUGGUUGUUUGGGGGGCUUGUUUUCCCUCCUAUUUUCAUUCAAGCAUUUUUUAACAGCAUUUAUGGAGACGUUAGAUAUACUGAACAAGAACAUAUGAUAUACGCAAUUUUUCAAGUUCUUUUUCUUCCUCUAAUGUCAUAUGAACUUACAUUUUCUUUUGUACCAAACAGAUCUAUAAAGGAUUAUAAACAUUAAAGCUUAGAUCUUACAGUUCCCAAAUCAUCAAAUACAAUCAUAACUUUCCCAAUUGCUUUUCCAUCUUUAAUUGCAGAGAAUGCAAGGUUGGCCUGUCAUAGACAAGGAAUCAAUAAGCUUAGAUAUAUCAACCAGAAGUAGAAAACUCGAAACUAUGCCUACAACAGUGAAAUUUUCAGAUUAUCUACUAACUUGGAAAGAAAAAGGAUAAAAUCAAUCGAAUAAAUCAAUUAAUCCCUUGUAAGUACCCAUCAUGAGAUUAAGCUAUGAGCCUAUGACAAACUACAAGCUUUCAUCAUGGAGCACAAGUAAAUUAUGAAAGUUCCGGGAAAUCAUCAGGACCUAUGUUGCUCGGACUGUUCAUUCUUUUUUAAGAACUCAUAUCGGACACUUAUGUCUAAACUCAUGGAUACGGAGAUAUAACCUCCAAGGAUCCUCCAAAUAUAUGGACAAACUUAGAAAAAUCUAACCAUAUCUGUUUAGGAUACUAACACUCGAGUCCGAGUAAUAUAUAUCUGGAUGGUUGAAACAAAACCGAUCCAUCUGCCCCAAAAUGAACAACCCAAAUGAUGCUACUUCACUUGGAUCAAGAUGUAUAUCUAAUGUGAUGAAUGGUACUUUAGUUGGUCCCAAGGCUCUAGUCACUACAUGCAACUCUAAGCAUUGGUUAAACCGGCUUUCAGCAGAGCUACUCGGAUUGUAUCAGCAUUCGGAUUUAAGACAUCAAUUUCAUACUUCCUCUAUUAUCAUAUCUGUAGUUUUCCUUUAAACAAAAGAAUAAUUCAUAAAGGAGGAAAAGGGGAAGACUGGUGAGAGCCCCUUACCUUGGAUAGGCUGUAAGUAUGAGAAAUGUGAACGGUAAUCAAGCCCUUUUCCAUCCAUGAGAUUAACUCCCGGACUGAAUCCUCGAGCACAGCCGGUUGAUGUAUUCUAUAGCUACCCCAAUAGAACCCAUGGACAAUCCAAUUCUGAGAAGAAUGAGAUACAUGCUUGAAAAUGCUAUUGAAGACGAGCAACAACAAGAAGUGCGUGUAUCGUACAACUAAUUCAUUUAACAGGUUUACCACCGAGAUCUGCCGCAUUAAAGCUAUAUUUACCAUAAACUGGUAAGGGUAGCAUAGUUUGGCAUGUGAUGGAUCGAUUUGAGAAAAAAAGAGAAAAGGUGAAGUACCUUAACAAGAAUGAUAUUAGCUGGGAUGACAGGGAUUUCACCACUGGCGAAUCCAAUGACUAGAAUCUGAGCACCCCAAUUCAAAAGCUUCCUAGUUUCUUUAGCAAGGUUGCCACCAACAGGAUCAUAGAGAACAUCAACCCCUUUGAGGUUCCUUGACUUGAGGAACUCCUUUAUACUCGCGGUUACAUAUUGAUUCAUCAAGUCUACCACAUGAUCGACACCCAAGGACUUUAAAAGCUGCACCUUUU